GGUCAGGGGAUCGCCGAUAUCUGCUUUGCAAGCAGAAGGCCGUGGGUUCGAGUCCCACCGUCUCCA
rnacentral:tRNA from 1 species